rnacentral:rRNA from 1 species
GAUGAACGCUGGCGGCGUGCCUAAUACAUGCAAGUCGAGCGAAUGGAUUAAGAGCUUGCUCUUAUGAAGUUAGCGGCGGACGGGUGAGUAACACGUGGGUAACCUGCCCAUAAGACUGGGAUAACUCCGGGAAACCGGGGCUAAUACCGGAUAACAUUUUGAACCGCAUGGUUCGAAAUUGAAAGGCGGCGUCGGCUGUCACUUAUGGAUGGACCCGGGUCGCAUUAGCUAGUUGGUGAGGUAACGGCUCACCAAGGCAACGAUGCGUAGCCGACCUGGGGGGGUGAGCGGCCACACUGGGACUGAGACACGGCCCAGACUCCUACGGGAGGCAGCAGUAGGGAAUCUUCCGCAAUGGACGAAAGUCUGACGGAGCAACGCCGCGUGAGUGAUGAAGGCUUUCGGGUCGUAAAACUCUGUUGUUAGGGAAGAACAAGUGCUAGUUGAAUAAGCUGACACCUUGACGGUACCUAACCAGAAAGCCACGGCUAACUACGUGCCAGCCGCCGCAGUAA